rnacentral:tRNA from 1 species
GAAAUAUGUUGAACAAGAAAAAGCUUCUAACUUUAUACUUUAGCGGUUUAAUUCCGUUUAUAUUUCU